GACAGAGGGGGCGAGCGUUGUCCAGAGUCACUGGGCGUAAAGCGCGCGCAGGCGGCAACCUAAGUGUCGUGUGAAAGCCCCCGGCUCAACCGGGGGAGGCCAUGGCAAACUGGGUCGCUCGAGCUGCGGAGAGGCCCCUCGAAUUGCCGGUGUAGCGGUGAAAUGCGUAGAGAUCGGCAGGAAGACCAAGGGGGAAGCCAGGGGGCUGGCCGCAGGCUGACGCUGAGGCGAGACAGCGUGGGGAGCAAACCGG
rnacentral:rRNA from 1 species